rnacentral:lncRNA from 1 species
AUGAAACCCACGGCUAAAAUGGAGAACUGAGCCCUGGGUUUGGGUAGAGAAUUCUUUCUCUUCAGGUUUCUGGAGCAAAGCUAGAUGAGCCAGAGACUGCUAGACUGCCUGAGACCUCGGUGCCCUCUCUGCCGACCCAGGACACUGGGUUUGAGCUGUCGUGAUUGGACAUGGUUUAGGGCCUAAGGGGUCCAGGCCUCAAGCCCCUAAACACUGACGGACAUUGGUGCCCCUCAAAUCACAGGUAGGAUCUAUGAACUCACCACCCAAACUCAUGAGUCACAUGCUCUACCCGCCGAGCCAGACAGGCAUACCAACUUGUUUUUAAUAUCAGUACAUAAAGAAGCACUGCUAAAACAGCUUCUUAGAGAAGGAAUAUAUAAAAAGAUGGCUCUCAACAGAUAUGACAGAGCUCUUUGUGGUCAGAAGCCAGAGCAAUGACAACACCAAAUUGCUUGAGCAUUGCCUAUCAACAGUGUGCAGUCGACCAGGAAAAUGCUGGAGUCAACUUAACCUGCACAGAGAAUUUGGUGUGUGAAUACCUUCUCCAAGUUACUCUGGGUCCCUGCACUCUACUCCACAUGACGUACACAGGUCAGUUUAUACCCAGAUUUCAAGGUUCCUUUUCAUGUUAAUUAUUGCAUGCCCUUUUCCCCUCAGUCUCUGCUCCAUCUG